AGAGUUUGAUCCUGGCUCAGGAUGAACGCUGGCGGUGUGCCUUAGGCAUGCAAGUCGAACGGUCCGCAAGGACAGUGGCAGACGGGUGAGUAACACGUAGGAAUCUACCUCGUAGUGGGGAAUAGCUCGCCGAAAGGCGGGGUAAUACCGCAUACGCCCUCCGGGGGAACGACGCAAGUCGCUAUGAGAGGAGCCUGCGAACUAUCAGCUUGUUGGUGGGGUAAUGGCCUACCAAGGCUACGACGGUUAGCCGAUGUGAGAGCAUGAUCGGCCACAAGGUUACUGAGACACGGAACCUACACCUACGGGUGGCAGCAACCGGGAAUUUUGCGCAAUGGGCGAAAGCCUGACGCAGCGACACCGCGUGCGGGAUGAAGUACUUAGGUAUGUAAACCGCUGUGGCGGGGGAUGAAUUUUGACAGUACCCCGCUAGAAAGCACUAGCUAACUACGUGCCAGAAGCUUCGGUAAUACGUAGAGUGCGAGCGUUAUCCGGAUUUAUUGGGCGUAAAGGGUCAGUCGGCGUUCUCUUAAGUUUCUUGUUUAAGCCUGAGGCUCAACUUCAGAAAAGCAAGAAAAACUGGGAGAAUAGAGUCUGUUCGAGGAAACUAGAAUUCUUGGUGGAGGGGUGAAAUCCGUAGAUAUCAAGAGGAAUACCGCGCGCGAAGGCAGGUUUCUAGGACAGUACUGACGCUCAGAGACGAAAGCUUGGGUAGCAAAUGGGAUUAGAGACCCCAGUAGUCCAAGCCGUAAACAUUCCUUGCUAGCUGUUCCCAUUUUUAUGGGAGUGGCGUAAGCUAACGCGUUAAGCAAGGCGCCUGGGGAGUACGGCCGCAAGGCUAAAACUCAAAGGAAUUGACGGG
rnacentral:rRNA from 1 species